rnacentral:rRNA from 1 species
GACGAACGCUGGCGGCGUGCCUAAUACAUGCAAGUAGGACGCAGUUGCGAACGGGGGAGUACCGCGUAGGUAACUGCCUCUUAGAGGGGGAUAACUAUUGGAAACGAUAGCUAAUACCGCAUACUAGUAGAUGGACCUGCGUUGUAUUAGAUGGUAGGUAGGGUAAUUGCCUACCUAGGCAACGAUACAUAGCCGACCUGCGGGGGUGAUCGGCCACACUGGGACUGAGACACGGCCCAGAGUCCUACGGGAGGCAGCUGUAGGGAGUCUUCGGCAAUUGGGGGAACCCUGACCGAGCAACGCCGCGUGAGUGAAGAAGGUUUUCGGAUCGUAAGGCUUUGUUGUUAAGGAAGCGGUACUUAACCAGAAAGGGACGGCUAACUACGUGCCAGCAGCCGCGGUAAUUC